GCCAAUUACUGUGGGCCCUUUUUUACCUAACCCACCCUGUCAACUUUCCCUGUGGGAGGAAACCGGAGUACCCGGGGAAAACCCACGGCUUUCGGCAGAGUGUUGACUUUUACUCUUUUCACAUGGGGCAGUGGUUCGAGUCCCACUGAGAAGGUACUUAGUGAGACUCGAACCUGCAGCCUCAGAGGUGAAAGGCAAGUGCGCUAACCACUUGGCCACCGAAGCCCCUGUUAAAGCC